UUGCCCUACGGGGGGCAGCAGUGGGGAAUAUUGCGCAAUGGGCGAAAGCCUGACGCAGCGACGCCGCGUGAGGGAUGAAGGUCUUCGGAUCGUAAACCUCUGUCAGCAGGGAAGAACGGUGACUGUGCUAAUCAGCAGUGAAUUGACGGUACCUGCAAAGGAAGCACCGGCUAACUCCGUGCCAGCAGCCGCGGUAAUACGGAGGGUGCGAGCGUUAAUCGGAUUUACUGGGCGUAACGCGCUCGUAGGCGGUAUGUCAUGUCAAGGGUGAAAUCCCGGCGCUC
rnacentral:rRNA from 1 species